UAGUUUAGUUUAUUAGUUUAUAAUGUCGUGGACAGUCCCCCUUAAUUAACUAUACAGUAAAAGGAGCAGCUUUAGCCUCAACGGCUAAUUUCCAGCUGUAGUCCCCGGCCAUCUGACAAUAGGCAUCCUAAAAUACAAUGGUUAACAUAUUAAAAAGAGUUACAUUACAUCUAUAAUAACAGCAGGCCUAAGCAAAAAGGGUUAAAACAUACAAAGAAGUGGCACACAAACAAACAAGCACAGAUAAUGGCAAUGGCAUUAAAGCAGUCCAUGCAGUUAAUACAAUACGAAGGAGACAAGAGAAAGGAGAAAAGUCUUAGAGGCCACAUUGAAAGCACAUACAAGACAUAACGGAGGCAGGCAGCAGAAAUGGAGCGACAGCAACAAUGACUAUGUCACAUCGAACACACAUCACAUCUGACAGAUUAAUGUGUGCAAUAAUAGUUAUCGGACUGCCAUGUUUUAAGGUGUGUUGUAAAGGUGGCAUUGUCAUGUUUAUCUUUUAUUU